rnacentral:rRNA from 1 species
AUUGAACGCUGGCGGCAUGCCUUACACAUGCAAGUCGAACGGUAACAGGUCUCCGGAUGCUGACGAGUGGAGAACGGGUGAGUAAUACAUCGGAACGUGCCUAGUAGUGGGGGAUAACUACUCGAAAGAGUGGCUAAUACCGCAUGAGAUCUACGGAUGAAAGCAGGGGAUCGCAAGACCUGGUGCUACUAGAGCGGCCGAUGGCAGAUUAGGUAGUUGGUGGGAUAAAAGCUGACCAAGCCGACGAUCUGUAGCUGGUCUGAGAGGACGAUCAGCCACACUGGGACUGAGACACGGCCCAGACUCCUACGGGAGGCAGCAGUGGGGAAUUUUGGACAAUGGGCGCAAGCCUGAUCCAGCAAUGCCGCGUGCAGGAUGAAGGCCUUCGGGUUGUAAACUGCUUUUGUACGGAACGAAACGCUCUGGGUUAAUACCUCGGGGUAAUGACGGUACCUGAAGAAUAAGCACCGGCUAACUACGUGCCAGCAGCCGCCGUAAUAC